GCCAGUGUGGUAUAGUGGUUUGUGCAUUGGACUCCAAUGCUGGAGAUCAGGGUUUGAUUCCCUGCUUGAGAA
rnacentral:tRNA from 1 species